GCGGGGGACCGAGAGGGCCUCGGCUGUGUGAGGACGAGAGGCGGCCGAGGCCCGG
rnacentral:miRNA from 10 species